rnacentral:sRNA from 1 species
GUCCGGGUACUGCCCGGUGAACAGCGUGGGUCUACUGGGCACGCA